rnacentral:rRNA from 1 species
CCUACGGGAGGCAGCAGUGAGGAAUAUUGGUCAAUGGACGAGAGUCUGAACCAGCCAAGUAGCGUGAAGGAUGACUGCCCUAUGGGUUGUAAACUUCUUUUAUAUGGGAAUAAAACGUUCCACGUGUGGGAUUUUGUAUGUACCAUAUGAAUAAGGAUCGGCUAACUCCGUGCCAGCAGCCGCGGUAAUACGGAGGAUCCGAGCGUUAUCCGGAUUUAUUGGGUUUAAAGGGAGCGUAGGUGGAUUGUUAAGUCAGUUGUGAAAGUUUGCGGCCCAACCGUAAAAUUGCAGUUGAAACUGGCAGUCUUGAGUACAGUAGAGGUGGGCGGAAUUCGUGGUGUAGCGGUGAAAUGCUUAGAUAUCACGAAGAACUCCGAUUGCGAAGGCAGUUCACUGGACUGCAACUGACACUGAGGCUCGAAAGUGUGGGUAUCAAACAGGAUUAGAUACCCUUGUAGUC